CGGAUUCGUCACCCCCCGCGAGGAGUUGCUCGCCAAUCCGCAGCUCUACCUCCUGAUCCUGCGCGCUGCCGGAGCCAAGGCAGCGGCCGUCGCCUUCGCUUAGUAGGGAGGCGCAUCACAUGCAUGCGCAUGCAUGCAUGUCCCUUCCGUCUACUGAAGUUAGUGUUGUUUUUGUCUACUCAAAAUUUUCGGUUUGUUGACUUAUCUUAUGGAGUAUUACCAGUGUACUAGAUCUGUUGAUCUGCCUCUAGCUAGUCACUUCCGUCGACCUACAGAAGUUCAAUGUUAUCUCCUAAGAAGAUGUGUGUAUCAUGUUUUUUUGUGUGUGUGUGUGUCAAGUUAUCUUAGUGUGCUCUAUUGAUUUGCAUGUGGUCUAUGAUCUAUAUCAUUCCAAAAAUCUCAAGAUCGAAGAUGGAUACUAGUGUUUGCGUGCAGCAGAUUUGAGGGGCCUGGAACUCCUCCAGUCGAAAAACAAACGUUACGAAAAUGUACCUCUACGCACCGAUAUGUGGGCCAGAUGAUCUACUACUAGGGUUCUUUGUAAUAACUUGACUGCUAAAGAAUAGUAGGUCGGAAGUUUUAUUAAUAAAAAAAGUUGCGUAUCCAACUACUUGCACGUAAUAGCACACAGAACAUCGACCAACGCGUGCACAGCACGACGGGCAUACGUGGCUCGAGCGAGCGAGCCUGGCUCGUCAAAAAUGGCCGAUUCGGCCGUUCCCUUGCAUAUGCAGUCUCAGAGUGUUCUAAGUGUCAUGCGAGCGAGAAACAAUGGAUGCAGUCCAAACAACCAAACAAAUUGUUUUUGUGUCGCACGGCCGGACCGAGAAGCAGAUGCAGCCCAACCAACGUCCUGAGAAUUAAUACUACAGUGAGCACGAUUCUUUUGGGAGAAAAAGUGGUUUCUAAUUGGGGGUUUUCAAACAACAUCAAUUUAUCCCAGCCAAUCAAGGUGUAUCUUGGUUGAUGAGAUUACAGAUAUAAGCCUUCUAAAAAAAAAAGAGGGAGUAUAUGAUACUAUGAGUUACAUGUGUAGUAUAAUAUCAUACACCAGUAUCCAGGGCCGGUCCUGAGUUUUCGGGGGCCCGUAGCAAAACUAGAAUCCGAGGCCCCCUAAAUAUAAACAUCAAUCUAAUGCAAUUUCAACUUUGAAAAUCUUUUCUCUACAUAAACUUUGGUGCAAGUUUUAAGGUUUUUGCUUGUAAAAUCAAACCUCGUAAACUUUGACCAAGUUUAUAUGAAAAAUAUCAACAUUCAAAAUGUGAAAACAAAACAUUAGAUGCGUCAUGACUUUAGUUUUUAUAUUGUAUAAAUUUAGCAUUGUAGAUGUUAAUAUUUUUCCAUAUAAAUACGGUCAAACUUUACGAAGUUUGACUUCAAACAAUUCUUAUAUGCAGAGUAAAAAGGACCGGAGGGAGUACAUUAUAGUACAAACAAAAUAUACAAUAGGGACCAUUGAUGUUUUCUUUUAGAAAAAUGGUAUGAGCACUGCCAGCACUUUGAUCUGUAAGAUGACAACAUUAACAUUGUUUUUCUCUUUAUUGCGGUCCUAAUUAAUAAUACAACAAAAUUAACCACACCAAUGUCCUAGGAUUUAAUUACAUAGCGUAUUUUGGGCUAUGUUUUUGUAUUUCGUUUAUUGCUUUCCUCAAACUGAAAGUAAUUUCACGUUGCAAGAACAGGCAAACACUAUCUACCGUCAACCAAUAUAGUUCGGUCAAGAAGCAGAAAAGUAAAAUCUACAAAACUUUUCUUAUAUCAAGAAUUUUACAUGGUAAUAUCUAUUUACCUGGAUGGGACAGAAUAGAUGUAGGGCUCAUCCCCAAAUCGAGCCCUCAAGCCAUCCACGGAUUUCUCCCGGUGCUCCAAGGACUGUAUGACAACACUCAAGACGACCAAUGCUUUCGCCUGUUCGGCUUGAACAUACAUGGUCUACGAGCUAUGGUCUCGCAACAGUCGUACGCCGCCCCUGAAGACUUGCAUCUCGCCAAGGUAGUGGAUGGGCACGGCAAGGUCGCUCAAGACCUGCACGCGGUGUACUCUUUCGGCCCGCCGGAGGGAGCCAUGGAGUUGCCGUACCCGCAUAUCUCGAUGUAUGGCGCCCAAUGGGCCGAUGAUCAACAGCUGCCGAUGAAGGAAAAUCCGGAAGACGGUGGCUCGCAAUGGAAAUCAUGUAAUCAAGCGUCCUCGUUACAGGCAGAGUUCUCGCUGUGAAUUACGACCUUCGUUGGGCCUUUUGAUGGAGAUCGUGGAAUCAAUAACACGGCUAGUGCGUAGUUGCGUACUACUCCCUCCGAUCUUUUUUUUCUCUGCGCGUAAGCAGCAACACGGAUAGCAAGGAGGACCUGGUUGUAUCUAUUUUGGACUAAUUUGCCCCUGUGCAUGCCCGGACAGAGGGGGACUAAUUUACUUGCUGCAUGCUAUGGGAUUGGGUGAGCGCUUCGGUCUCGUUUUCUCUUCCCCAGGUGCAGGCCAUGGGCCCAUUUGCAUACGGCAGACGCGGGGUACGAUUGAAAACCAGUGCGAGAUUGAAAACCAGUGUGAGAAAAAGGCAACGCGGAGACUAAUUAGAGAAAAACGGAGAAAAGUUAUAUGCAGAGAAUUAAAACGGAGGGAGUACUACUAUAGGCAAGCAAACUUGGGGCCCCCUCAGUUUCGGGAGNNNNNNNNNNNNNNNNNNNNNNNNNNNNNNNNNNNNNNNNNNNNNNNNNNNNNNNNNNNNNNNNNNNNNNNNNNNNNNNNNNNNNNNNNNNNNNNNNNNNNNNNNNNNNNNNNNNNNNNNNNNNNNNNNNNNNNNNNNNNNNNNNNNNNNNNNNNNNNNNNNNNNNNNNNNNNNNNNNNNNNNNNNNNNNNNNNNNNNNNNNNNNNNNNNNNNNNNNNNNNNNNNNNNNNNNNNNNNNNNNNNNNNNNNNNNNNNNNNNNNNNNNNNNNNNNNNNNNNNNNNNNNNNNNNNNNNNNNNNNNNNNNNNNNNNNNNNNNNNNNNNNNNNNNUAUUGUACCUGCUCUAAAACCCGUUGGAUGAAAAUAAUUGUGACAUGAGGACAAACCAUGGCUCGAUGGUUGGGGUUGGCAGUGGCCACCCAGCCCGGCCAAGAUUGAUACUGAGAUCGACGUGGUUGUGUCACCCGGGGUAUUUUCCCUUGUAGGCACCUUACAAGUUUAGGGGCCACAAGGGUAAUUAGAAUCGUAUGGUUUUGAAAGUUUCUCAAGCCAUGAUGUGUGCACGGAUUGUACUCUCUCCAUUUCCUUUUUACUCUGCAUAUAAAAUUGUUUGAAGUCGAGCUAUGUAAGUUUGAUCAAAUUUAUAUAAAAAAAUAUAAACGUCUACAAUACUAAAACUAUAUAAUAUGAAAAUACAUUUAAUCAUGCAUCUGGUAAUAUUGAUUUCAUAUUGUGAAUGUGAUAAUUUUUAAUAUAAAUUAGUCAAACUUUAUAAAGUUUGACUUUGAUCAAAUUUCAUAUACAAACUAAAAAAAAACGGAUGGGGUAUAUCUUAGUAGGCGCAUAGCUGACGUGUGUGGUGGCGUGCAUGCGUGAGUAUACUAUGUGUUGCGCGUCAUCUAAUAACCGAGGCUUAAAAAAAUCGUGGCAUGGAUCGGCCGCUCGGUCGCGCACGCGAGAUGACAAGUCUGGAUAGUUUCAAAUGCCGCCGUGCGCGCCGUCCAACCGGCGCGAUGCACCGUUUCUCAAACGCGCCAACGAAUCGCAGUACGCAUGCCUGCGGGGCACCGGCUGCCAUCCUCCACGAGGAAAGCCCCAUUGGCGCGCGGCGCGGCGCGGUGCAGAACGUCAGAACCGCAUUGAACCAACGCUCACCCAUAUGGCCAUCACCACGCUUUCAUACUUUAUAUUUACCCUUUUUACUAUACUAUAUCGGAUAGUGCUCCUAGCUAGUGUACGCAUGCGUCGACCGAUGCUUGCUUAUCACUGAAAAAAAAAUCGAUAACUAAAACGAAAAAAAAUAUUAAACGGCGGAAUCGUGUUGAAACCAAAGCAUACUCAGCUCCACUCAGCAAUUAAAAGGAGUAACCGAGCGGAAACGAGAGUACAUGUUUUUAUAAACGAGUACAAGGAGAUUAACUGUAGUAGGUCGGGAGGUGCUUUCGCUCCCCACAGGCCACAACCACCUCCGUCUUUAUAAACCCUCACCCAGCUCGCCCUGUCUCGACAACAACUACUCCCUUCUCCCUCUCGAGCUGCAGCCAGGCGACAUCGUCCAAGCAAGAGACAACCAAGCAAAAAAAACCAACAUCUCGUCUUGAUUCGCGUCACCUCGCCUGCAUCAUCUUUGUAACUCUCUUCUAGGACACAUUGUGCUUAUCAGCUUCUCCCUGGAGUAGUGCUUCUAGUUGGUUAGCAAUCUCUUCAUAGAGUUUUGGACUAAUGAGAAAGCAAGGCUUAAUUUCUUUUUCUUUAUUACUACUUUACUACAGAUCUUUGUAAUGGUUGACACUCUGUAGUUGGUUAGCAUGCAAACGUUUCCGAAGCUCCUCUGCAAUCAACAAGUAGAUAUGAGAUAAUCAACUCCCCAGUUUCACGGCGUCGUAUAAUGUUUGCAUAACAGUGUUGUCAAUGUUUCUGGAGCGAUGAAGAAAGAUGAAAGGGUGAACACACCGCAGUCACUGGCUACUACUCUCUCCGUUCCCAAAUAUUUGUCUUUCUAGAUAUUUUAACAAGUGACUACAUACGGAGCAAGAUGAGUGAAUCUACACUCUAAAAUAUGUCUACAUACAUCCGUAUGUUGUGCCCAUUUGAAAUGCCUAGAAAGAAAAAUAUUUAGGAACGGAAGGAGUAGCAGGCUAGCAGCAUGCCACUUGUCUGCUCUGGUGACAUUAAAAUCUGUGUCUUAAUUCUUGAAUCAGUGCUUCCUUUCUGAACAUAGACUUGAGGAUUCUAGCCGUAUAUUUUUUGCUGCUCAGUCAUGUACUCAACUUCCAACAAAGGAUUUGAUCCUUUGUAUUAUUGCUCUAAUUCGUGAUCAAAAUUAACCUCGAAAUAUGUAUUUGGGCAUAUCCUGAUAUAAGUAUCUUGGGAGAACAUGGGGCUUCUCAGAGCUCAGCGAUUACUAGCCGUUCGAUCGAUUUUUUUGAUGCGUUUUCAGCCGUCAGAUCAGGCCACUGGAGGACCUCGGCCGUUGGAUCGACCCGGUAACACUGCUACAAUGAAUAGUUACCUCCCGCUGUAAUAGAUCUCGUGCCACCGCGUGUAAUUCUCGUGCCACGCCGAGGGCAUUUUAGUAAUUUCACUAUAGGGUAUAAAAUCUCACCAGCUCCCCGUAGAACCCUAGCCGCUCGCCCCGCCCUGCCGUCUCGCCCGUCCCGCCGUCUCGCCCGCCCCACCGCCCUGCCCCGCCCAACCCGUCCCGCUCGCCGUGGCCGUGGCCUAUGACCGCGGCCCCGCCGUCCCGCCCUGCCGUCUCGCCCGCCCCGCCGUCUCGCCCGCCCCACCGCCCCGUCCGUCCCGCUUGCCGUGGCCGUGGCUGAUGACCGCGGCGCAGCAAGGACCAUCCGCCUCGCCUCUCCUCCUCCCCAUAGGCCCCCAUCAAGCUCGCGCUCACUGCUCUGGGUCGCGCGCCGCCGUGCCCCCGGUCAACUCUGCAUGGGCCGCCUCCCUCCUCCUCCUUCCCAUCGGGAUCGGGCAGGAGGAGCGCAGGAAGGUCAUGGGUCACCUCCCUCAUCCUCCCCAUCGGGACCGGGCAGGAGGAUGAGCGCCCUCCCUCGUGACCGCCUCAACGGGAGAAGGGAUGCGGCCGUCGCUGCCGACGAGAACAUCGCUAGUGAGCGCGGUGGCAGCCAUCGACGACCUCGAGCGUGUGGGCGCGUUGGUGAGCGCGGCGGCGGUCGUGGCCGUGGCCGAGCUCGAGCCCUGGCGCAGCGGCGCGUUGUUGAGCACGGUGGCGGCCCGACCAUGGCCGAGCUCGAGCGUCUCAGUCUCCGAUGGCUCCUGCGUGUGCCGCUCCUGGGUGAGGUGUUUGUUCAAUUGCCGUGGUUGAUUUUCUCUGUUACUUUCGGUUUGGUCAGGGUCUCAGUGGGAUUUCAUUGCAGGUUCUGAAGAGCCACUGUUUGUUCCGUUCGUCGAGGAUUCGACCGUCCUGCCGACUACUGCUGCGUUGAGAUGUUGCAAGGCUUCGGGUCUGUGAGCUCUUCUUUUUCCUUCCUAUCUAGCGGUCUAAUAUUUGUGGAAGUGUUGUUAUGUGCGGCUUCAGUAGUUUCUUAGAUGUGUUGGCUGCUCGUAUCUGGCUAAUGCUUUUGCAUAUCUAGGGUGUUGCUCGUGUAUAUUUGCUAUUGAGCUCGGUGUACUGUGCUUUGCCGUUCGUGUGGGUGUGCACGCUAGCAAACAUCCCCUGGUUGGAUUUAGUGGGUUUCUAUCCUGCCUUGUUUGUUUGCUGGUGUAUGCCUUUUCUUCCUUGGUUGAAUCCUGCUAGGGCUGGUAUUAUGUUCUCAUCUGCACAUGGAUGCUUGGUGCAUUUUUUCUUCUCGUCCAAUUGGCAUGCCUGCUGAUGUGUGUGUUGGUCUUGUGUGUCCUAUGUCAUGCUAGCGUCGUCGAUUUGCGAGGAUUGUUUGAUACAUUAUGCUCAUCAUAGUGUGAUUUCAGGAAGGUGUGGAUGCAACAAGAUAUUUGCCCUUUAGUUUAGUCUGGUACAUUUGAAUUAGUCUGCUUGGUCCGUGUUCAUUUAGUCGGCUGAUUUUGGUUGGCACCUUUUGAUUUGCUUGCUGAGAAACAUAGAGUUGUUUGUCCACUCACACAUGAAAAAAAUAUGGCUGGAUUUGUUUAUGUUGGAUUGAGGGAAGGAUAGGCUGUUCAUUGGCUUGUAUUGUUGGAUUUGGUCUCCCUAGGUUAAAUUGGAGGUUUUGAUUCAUGCUGAGAAACAAUUUCUUCGUCCCACUGUAGUGUCAUAUCAGUUUGGAUCCCUGUGUGACUUUUGUUUCAUAAAUUAGCAUUUUUGGAUAUCAAGAAUUGUAGAUUUCUAGCUCAUCUGCAGCAACAAAAGGCAACGCUUGUGUGCUAAUUAAUAAUGAUACGUUUCAUUGUUCUGGGGAGUAUUUAGAAUGUAGAAGAUGGCAGUGUACCUGAACUUUAUAUUACGUUCAGUUGACAGGCUUCACACUUUGAUAUUUUUCUUUGGACGACCACUAUCAUUGAUUAGGUGUGUGACAUUUCCUGGCUGAUGUGGUCCAAGGGCAAUUAUCAAGUGGUCGGGGUUGCGGAGGAGAAUUUGAGGUAGAAGCUCAUUUAUUUUCUGUUGCUAGCUUACAUGUAACAUCCAUAGACUUUUGUUCUUUAUAUUCUGUUCAAAUAGUCAUCGAACAUUCUUUGGUUGCAUUGCUGUAUGAAAACAUUUUGCACUGAAAUUAACUAUAUAUGCUUAUUAUUAGUUCAGCACUAAUAUUCUAAACCUGUAGUAUAAACCUAGGUGCUUUCCCCUCUAAAUUUCUUCAUGUUAGGUUUCAGAAUAAUCUCCCACCACCACCACGAUUCAUAUCUGGAGAAGCUUUGUGGAAUCCGUGGUGUUGUCCUUCUCGUACUAUGGUUGCUGGCCUAUGGGGAAUCAGGAUGGACAUUGAGCAAAGUGGCAGCAACGGGUGGCAGGUGUUGUGGCCGAGGAGCUCCAGCACACACCCACAUGUUCACUUGUUGACCUGGCAGCUCUUCACUGAGGUAGUGAGGCCUCCUCCUUCUUCCUUUUCUUUCAUCUCAACUCUUCCUGUAACCAUCUUUUGCCUGUUUUUUGGGUGCUUUUGUGUAUAGGUUUGCUGCUUUGGUUUGGCUGGGAUGUGUGCCUCCAUGGUUGGGUCGUGUGGACUGCUGGCAAGGAUGGAGAAGCAUAGGAAGGUGUCACCAUUGCAUAGAUUCUAUUAUAGCCAUGCUAGCUGCUUGGCCAUGUCAUUUUGUUCACACAGGUGUGUCCACAACAACUCUGAUAGUGCCAUGCCGGUGAGCUCAGACCCUGAUGUUUAAUUUGAUUAUCAGUACAAACUGGGGCUGGACUGAUGUGUGCUAAUGUCCUCUUGAUUGGUUUUAUGUAGGACACGGUAUCAUUAAACAAGGACUCUUUUGGCGGACUCUUUUAUCACCUGUUUCCUGGCGCUAAGUCUGCAAACGGUUCAGCUUUGCUUCAGUCCUCUCUUGAGGCCAGAGCAGUAACAUGAGAAAAAACAUCGUAUUAGCUUCUGUAUUAACAAGUGUAAUUAUGUAGUACUAUAUUUUGAUCGGUUUUGUUUCCUCUAUACUGCCAAAAUAUCAUAAUUAGACUGCAUUACAUAACAGCAAGAAUAUUGCCAUACAACUCAGAUUCAUAUAACUUGCAGUAUGUUCCAUGAUAAAUGUAUCCAACAGGGGCUGGACAUAUUUUUUUUGCUUCAUAGUUCAUUUUGAAUGAAAAUAACAAAUGGUUUCUACCUCCAUGGUUGACCUGUUUUGUCAUUGUUCUCUCCGUACAAAGGCACCAAUACCUAACAUUUAUCCUAACAGAUUCACGGGUCCAAGAAUAGGGUCAGACCGGACCGGACCUGUUGAAUCUUGAGUGACACAGAUGUCCUGUUGGUGUGAGGUGGGGAUUUUUAGUUUAGAAGAGCUUGAGACCUUGUUACAUUUCAAAGUAGCAGUUCACAAAUGGGCACCCCAUUUGGUCAUCAUGUGGGAUCAUGGGUUUAUCAUACAUGUUUUAUCUAGCACAACUAUCAAAAUUCCCUCACAGUUUGAUUUAGCAUACUAUUUAGACCCUGAUGCUCUUAAACUAACGCAUGCAAAAGCAUUUGAAAUCACACUAUUUAGUACAACAUUUUCUUCAAAAUAUCACUUUUGGAUAUCAAACUUACUUACAAUCCAAGACAAAUGAAAUAUAAAACUUAAUUGCAUCCAUUAAGAAAUAGGAGUCAAUGUAGUUUCUCAUGUACUUUUCUGCUCGAGAGGUGGUAAUGGAACAAAUAAAUAUAUCUCCACCGCAAUUCAGAAAUAUUUUUGUGUGUUCAUUUCAUGCCCAGAGUCUUGCAGGUUGUAAGUGUGUCAAUAUAUUUAUGUGGUUCCUUAUGUCUUUGUUUCAUAUCUAUUUCAGGUUUUCCUCUGUGGCCUCAAAUCCAGCUUAUCGUUGAUUCCAUAUUGAAUAAAUGUCUGCAGUCUUAGUUUGCACUCUGUUCUGCAACAUGGAAAUUUGGACUGGUCCACUUCAUCUCGAGCCGCUGGUCCACUGCUUCUCUGGUUUUAUAAAAAGGUAGAUAUUGUUUUUUCCUGGAUCAUUGGUACUUAUAGCCUUAUAGGAGGCCGAUUCUUAAAUUGGCUAAUAAGCAAGGCUUAAAUGUAGAUGAUUGUCCUUUGUCACUCUUUAGUAAUAUAGCUGACUUUUUUUCAUUUUUUGUUCAUGGCAAAGACGCCUAUGUGUGUGGGCGUGUGUGUUGCCAUCGAAUCAGGAUGAAAAGUUUGGGUCUCCUCUGAUUUAUUUACAUAUGUAUCUUCCACUACCUGAACUUUCCCUGUCCUACAGAGCAUAUACAUGCAUGUGUUGGAAGGCUGAUUAGAGACUGGUCUUUACUACCGGCUGCCCUCUAUCUGAAAUAUCAAACAUUUACUUCCUCCACCUAUUCGGAUGCCUAUGCUUGGCUGUUGUAAUUGCAGAUGGAUUUAUGAUGUUGAGCAGAUCACCAUGUUGAAGGCUGAGCAAUUAGAGACGAGUGUUAUUGCCAAAGUAAGGUGAUGAUAAAUAAUCUCAUGUUUGACUUCGUGCAUGUUCAUAUAAUAACAAUGUGAUUCGGCACGCCGAUUCCUUUCUAUGCGCUGAUUUUUGUUUCUCUCUUUAUACGUUUAAAUUUUUGAGGAAAAUAACGCUGCAUGAUUAUAUCGGUUUAACUCCAGUUCACAUUCUUACACAUAUUCCUCCUACCUUUGCUUCAUAUAAGUGUCUUGAUACACUAUUAUAACCAUUCAUGAUCUAAUCACACUAAAUAAGAGAUAAUGGGGAAGAUUCUGUCCUACCUUUGCUUCAUAUAAGUGUCUUUUCAACACCACUGUCCAAAACAGCGGGACCUAUCCAACGCAAAUGUCGAUUACUUGUGUUUGCUCUCCUAAUGAGAUAAUGGGGGAAGAUUCUGCCGCUUUUGAGGCCAUCAGGUACAUGGAGAGCGCCACAAACACUGUGGCGAAGGAUCUGAAAUACAAACGGCUGGGCAAAUUUACCGAGUGUUUGGUUAUCUAAGGCUCAGACUCGAUUAGGCAUUUGACAUGAUAGACAAGCUUGCCAAAGGUUACUUAUAUGAUGUGAGAUACAUGUCCUCCUUUUCAGAUUAGAUUGAUAGUGUGAUGGCAGAUGCCUUUCCUGCUACUUGUGCCAUGGAUAAAUCGACAAAGUUGAUGGUUAUUAUAUUGAGUUGGUGGGGCAUAAUCUUAAGGACAGAAGCUGCCACUAGCUACUGAGAUGUGCUCUGUGAACUAUUGUCGGAUUGUCCUUGCCUUCUGUAAGAGUGCCCUGCUCUAAGAAUUAUAUGAAAUUCUUUAUGUUGACUUCAUAUUAGUUGCACUAAUGCACUGCUGGAGCUUUAGCAGAACUAUAUAGGAUUCUUAUCUUGGAAUGUCGUUUGCACCCAACUGUUGUAUCUAUUUUAUGAGGAACCAUUGUCUUGGCUUACUUUUGAAACCAAAUAUAUAUUCCUACUUUGUCAUGAACUUUGAGAUUAACUGUUCUAUUGAGUAUCUUACUUUACUUGCUUUUGGUAUAUCUGAUUUUACUGCCUUUUUUAUUGCUUUAACAAAACAUGCCAUGCUACUGAUGUAACGUAUUGGGUUGAUAUAUCCUGAGUAAUCAUUCUAAUUUUCAUUUGGCAAUUGUACUAUGUUGAUUCAUUGCCGGCAAUCUUUCUAUUCCUGGUUGGCAACACUAAAUGCUUUGUUUAAACGUUUGAACAAUACGUUGGGCCAGGCACCUCGCGCCAAGGCGUGAUUCCUAUCUAGUAUAUUUGGAUAGAGGGAGUACCCGCCUCCUGGGACAUCGGCACUCCCGAGUGCCCUCCGUUCCGUGCACGCCAAGCACCGAUGGCUCCCUUGCGUGCUCCCGACCGCCCAAUCUUCCCAGACGCUCCGCAUUGUGCCUUUUUCCCACGGGGGUCCAUGAUGCAUGGGCCGCGAGCACAAUCGUGGCCACCUUGCUGCGAUGCUAUUCGUUGCGCCUACGUGUGUCAUGUCGUGCGUUACCCCGCAUCCGUCGAGUAAGCCAGGUCGGCGUGUCAGCGUCUCUCGUCUCAUGCUGGGUUGUUCAGUUCCCGCAAGCCGGGUACGCGCAUGCGCUUGGGUCGGCAUGUGACCGUCAUUCAAUUGCUAUUGGGCUUUUCGGUUUGCGCAAGCCGGAUACGCCCAUGCGUCCGGGCACCCUGUGCAUGCUUGGUUCGCGCGAGGUGAGUAUGCGUGUGCACCCAGGUCAGCCCAUGAGCAUUGCAUGGCCAAACAGGGUGAUGGAGUACUCGUCUCCAACUAGCCACAAUGAGUAGUAAUAUAGACUAGUAACAUGUGUAUGUUACUACUCUAUGUUACCACCUAUAUAGUGGGGAGUAACAUAUGUGUGGUAACAUGCAACACUUCAUUUAUUAGGCUAUAGACACAUCUUGCCUUGAUACGUGUGAGAGCAUCUCCAGCCGCGCCCCCAACAAGACCCCCCAGGCGACUUUUUUGGCCGCCGGCACCGAAAAAUCGGCCCAGUCGCGCCCCCAAAGGCCCUUUUUUCGCUGGCUCGGGUUCAAAUUGGCGCCGGCGGACCCAGGCCGAACCCGGCACGCUGGGGGCGCUUGGGGGAUCGUUUUUGGCGCGAAAAUCGGCGGGCCCUCCUUGAUAGCGACUCGGCUCUUCUCGUCGCUUCGUCGUCCUCAUCGCCUUGGUUCCCGCAGGGGAAUCAAUGCCAAAGCUGCCGCGGGCUGCCGUGCCGGUCAGCCUCCUCCAUUGAUGCCUCACGGGCGGCGCAGUGAAGACGGGGCGACGCAGGACCCUCGCCCGCCACGCGUACGCACGGCAGCCACGCGAGCGCCGCCUAUGUAAGCCGCCCCCUCCCGCACCGGUGAGCCACGCACAGACCUCGCUCUCCACCGCCGACGCCCCCGUUCCUCCCUCUCUUCUCGCCGUUCCCAGUUCACCCAAUGGCCGAGCGCUAUCCAGGCGAUGGAGCGGCGGCGAACGGCUUCGGCCGCCGCCACCUUCACGAGGACAAAGCCCGGCUUCUCUAUGAGGCCGAGUACCCGGUCCCGCCGGACAUGCGGGUGCCCGAGGCGUGGAGGAUAAGCGCCGGCGGGGUCCCGGUGCCACCGCCGCCCACCGGGGCGGCGCGUCGUGCGGAGAUCGCCCGUAUCUGUGCCUCUCUGCCGCAGGCGGCGAGAGAAGGGCCGAGGUACACCCCGACAGCACGCUGUGGGAGCCAUACUUCAGCCGCCGCCACGCCGAGCAGCUCGAGGCCACCAACGGCGUCGUGCCCUUCGGCAGGCUCAACGCCGACGGGCGCCACCGAUGGUGGGGCGUGCCGGGCCGCACGCUGGAGGCCGUCCUCAAGUACAUCGAGGGCGGCAACACGCCGAGGCUGGAGUACCCCGCUCCCCCACCUUCUCCCGCCGGCGUGGGAGCUCGUGGACGCCGAGACGCAUGGACCCGGCGUCCUCCUCCUCGUCCGGCCGCUCGUCCGGCUCUCUCUCCCUCCUCCCCAUCAAGCCGGAGCCCCAGGACGCGUCGAUCAGCCGGCGCACCCGCAGCUGCGGCGUCCGCAUCGCCGAGUCCUCCCCCACCUCUGCCCGGCUCGUCAGGCCGAAGGUGGAGUCCGGCCUCCCCGCGAAGUACGAGGCCAUAGCCCGGUGCGGCUUCUCCGACGAGGACGCCCUAAAGUGGGCGCGGGACGACUACCUCCGCGACGAGAUUGUCCGGUAGCGCCGAGCCCUGCAGGAGAUAGCCGCCCGCCAGCGUUGGCGCGAGGACGAGAACGGCGUGGUGAUCCUCGACAGCGACGAGGACGAGGACACCCCUGGACCGUCCAACCCGCCGCGCGUCGGCGACCCUGGGCAGGGGAGCAGCAGGGACGGCGGCCGCGGAGGAGGCGACGACGACGACGACGACGACAACGGCGACUACACGCAGUUCUACAUGCUCCUCGGCAUGUAGAGCUUCAGGGCGGCGGGCGGCGAGGAACAGCGAGGGCGACGGCGGGUCUAGUAGUGUUUUUUUUCUUCUUUUGUAAAAUAUUUUAUGAACUCGCUGAAGUUUGGUUAAAUUUGCGCCUUGUUUGUGCGAACGUGGGGCCGGAUUUUGUUUUAGAAAAAACAUG
rnacentral:lncRNA from 1 species